CCUACGGGGGGCAGCAGUGAGGAAUAUUGGUCAAUGGGCGAGAGCCUGAACCAGCGAAGUCGCGUGAGGGAGUACUGCCCUAUGGGUUGUAAACCUCUUUUGUCGGGGAGCAAAAGCCGGACGUGUCCGGCUGUGAGAGUACCCGAAGAAAAAGCAUCGGCUAACCCCGUGCCAGCGGCCGCGGUAAUACGGAGGAUGCGAGCGUUAUCCGUAUUUAGUGGAUUUAAAGGGUGCGCAGGCGGAUUUUUUAGUCAGAGUGAAAAUCGUGGGGCUCAACCCCAUCCAGCCGUUGAAACUGGGGAUCUAGAGUGUGCGAGAGGUAUGCGGAAUGCGUGGUGUAGCGGUGAAAUGCAUAGAUAUCACGCAGAACCCCGAUUGCGAAGGCAGCAUACCGGUGCACAACUGACGCUCAAGCACGAAAGCGUGGGUAUCGAACAGGAUUAGAUACCCGUGUAGUC
rnacentral:rRNA from 1 species